rnacentral:tRNA from 1 species
UAUAUCUUAUUAUAAUAUGUAUAAAAGUUUUUGAUGCUUUAGGUAAUAGUAUUUGCUAUUAGAUGUAA